CUCAGCCGGAAGGUCCACAUAAUACUGGGUUUUAUCAGGAAAGCUGUGUAUUCUACAAUUAACAAUACAGUAUCAUGAUGAACCAACGCAUUGACACCUGCACCUGCCUGUGUGAAGAGAGGAGAUCAAGAGGGAGUCAGCAUGUCUGUAAUGAGGCCACAGAGAGCUAAGAUUAAGCCUAAAGAAGAGGCAGCUUAUUUUUCAUCAUUGGGAAAGGACAAGGAUGGAUUUACUAUAAAAUAUAUUAAUUCAUUCAAAGGUCGAGGAGUGUUUAGUUGCCGCCACUUUCAGAAAGGAGACUUUCUCAUAGAAUAUCGAGG